rnacentral:tRNA from 1 species
GUGGAUAUAGCCCAAAUGGUAGAGUGCUUGCCUUUUAUGCACAAGGCCCUGGGUUCAAUCCCCAGUACCACA